GGCUACACACGUGCUACAAUGGACGGUACAAAGAGCUGCAAGACCGCGAGGUGGAGCUAAUCUCAUAAAACCGUUCUCAGUUCGGAUUGUAGGCUGCAACUCGCCUACAUGAAGCUGGAAUCGCUAGUAAUCGCGGAUCAGCAUGCCGCGGUGAAUACGUUCCCGGGCCUUGUACACACCGCCCGUCACACCACGAGAGUUUGUAACACCCGAAGUCGGUGGGGUAACCUUUUUGGAGCCAGCCGCCUAAGGUGGGACAGAUGAUUGGGGUGAAGUCGUAACAAGGUAGCCGUAUCGGAAGGUGCGGUUGGAUCACCUCCUAG
rnacentral:rRNA from 1 species